CAGCCGUAAACUAUGCUCGCUAGGUGUCAGGGACGGUGCGACCGUUUCUGGUGCCGCAGGGAAGCCGUGAAGCGAGCCACCUGGGAAGUACGGUCGCAAGGCUGAAACUUAAAGGAAUUGGCGGGGGGAGCACCACAACGGGUGGAGCCUGCGGUUUAAUUGGACUCAACGCCGGGAAGCUCACCGGAUAAGACAGCGGAAUGAUUGCCGGGCUGAAGACCCUGCAUGACCAGCUGAGAGGUGGUGCAUGGCGUAGACGUCU
rnacentral:rRNA from 1 species